AUGCAAAUUUUAUCACACGAGCAGUUCAUCCUGAUGGCAGUAACAUUGUGGUCCAUAUGGCAUGCGAGACGCAAGGCCAUUCACGAGUCAAUCUUCCAGAGCCCUCAAGCUACUCACAGUUUCAUUGGCAGGUUCAUGGAGGAUCUUGGCAUCAUCAGAAACAGGCAGGGAAGCGCUUCCAUAAGAGUUGUCCCACAGGCCGGUCAGCAAAGGCCAAAGAAGCCACCCCCGGGUUUCUGCAAGAUACAUGUUGACGCAGGAGUCACUGCGAGACAGGGAGGCUCGGCAACAGCUGUAUGCAAAGAUGAAGGAGGAAACUAUAUGGGGAGUUCGGCACUAGUUGUCGAAAGAGUUCUUGAUUCGGCCACCCUAGAAGCAGUAGCUUGCAGAGAGGCUCUCUCCCUUGCAGAAGAUUUGGGCAUCCAAAACUUUGUUGUGGCUUCGGACUGCCAGCAAGUUGUCUCUGACAUCAACGGGAACGCAUGGGGCGCAUAUGGAGCAAUCAUCAUGGAAACAAACCUUAAGGCAAUUACGUUUCAUUGUAACUUUUCUUUUGAGAGUCGUGUUGUUAAUUAUGAAGCACAUAGCUUAGCUAAGUUUUCACUUUCUAGAGGUCCGGGUCGCCACGUUUGGUUUGGUGUACCACAUGACCAAAGAUGUAUCCCACUCCAUGUGGAUUUUGCUGAAUAA
rnacentral:rRNA from 1 species